rnacentral:tRNA from 1 species
GCUAGUGUGGCAGAGCCCGGCAAUUGCAAAAGGCCUAAGCCCUUUCACCCAGGGGUUCAAAUCCCCUCACUAGCU